UCAUAUGUGAGGACAACACCUCAUGGGAUGGAAACAAGGUUGCAUCCCUGAGAUUAUUUCA
rnacentral:ncRNA from 1 species